rnacentral:rRNA from 1 species
GACGACCGCUGACGGCGUGCUUAACACAUGCAAGUCGAAGGGAGUGGCGAACGGGUGAGUAACACGUGAGUAACCUGCACUUUUCUUUGGGAUCAGCCUGGGAAACUGGGGCUCAUACUGGAUGGUUUGGGAUGGGCUCGUGGUUUCUCAGCUUGGUGGUGGGGUGAUGGCUUACCAAGGCUUUGACGGGUAGCCGGCCUGAGAGGGUGGUCGGUCACACUGGAACUGAGACACGGUCCAGACUCCUACGGGAGGCAGCAGUGGGGAAUAUGGCACAAUGGGCGAAAGCCUGAUGUAGCCAUGCCGCGUGUAUGAAGAAGGCCUUCGGGUUGUAAAGUACUUUCAGCGGGGAGGCGUUACCCGCAGAAGAAGCACCGGCUAACUCCGUGCCAGCAGCCGCGGUAAUUC